rnacentral:rRNA from 1 species
CCUACGGGCGGCAGCAGUGGGGAAUAUUGGACAAUGGGCGAAAGCCUGAUCCAGCCAUGCCGCGUGUGUGAAGAAGGCCUUCGGGUUGUAAAGCACUUUCAGUGGGGAAGAAAGCCUUGGGGCUAAUACCCUCGAGGAAGGACAUCACCCACAGAAGAAGCACCGGCUAACUCCGUGCCAGCAGCCGCGGUAAUACGGAGGGGGCGAGCGUUAAUCGGAAUUACUGGGCGUAAAGCGCGCGUAGGCGGUCUGAUAAGCCGGUUGUGAAAGCCCCGGGCUCAACCUGGGAACGGCAUCCGGAACUGUCAGGCUAGAGUGCAGGAGAGGAAGGUAGAAUUCCCGGUGUAGCGGUGAAAUGCGUAGAGAUCGGGAGGAAUACCAGUGGCGAAGGCGGCCUUCUGGACUGACACUGACGCUGAGGUGCGAAAGCGUGGGUAGCAAACAGGAUUAGAUACCCUUGUAGUC